rnacentral:rRNA from 1 species
GAUCCUGGCUCAGGAUGAACGCUAGCGACAGGCUUAACACAUGCAAGUCGAGGGGCAGCAUGAACUUAGCUUGCUAAGUUUGAUGGCGACCGGCGCACGGGUGAGUAACGCGUAUCCAACCUGCCCACCACUUGGGGAUAACCUUGCGAAAGUAAGACUAAUACCCAAUGAUAUCUCUAGAAGACAUCUGAAAGAGAUUAAAGAUUCAUCGGUGAUGGAUGGGGAUGCG